rnacentral:rRNA from 1 species
CCUACGGGAGGCAGCAGUGAGGAAUAUUGGUCAAUGGACGAGAGUCUGAACCAGCCAAGUAGCGUGAAGGAUGACUGCCCUAUGGGUUGUAAACUUCUUUUAUAUGGGAAUAAAAUGCUCCACGUGUGGGAUUUUGUAUGUACCAUAUGAAUAAGGAUCGGCUAACUCCGUGCCAGCAGCCGCGGUAAUACGGAGGAUCCGAGCGUUAUCCGGAUUUAUUGGGUUUAAAGGGAGCGUAGGUGGAUUGUUAAGUCAGUUGUGAAAGUUUGCGGCUCAACCGUAAAAUUGCAGUUGAAACUGGCAGUCUUGAGUACAGUAGAGGUGAGCGGAAUUCGUGGUGUAGCGGUGAAAUGCUUAGAUAUCACGAAGAACUCCGAUGGCGAAGGCAGUUCACUGGACUGCAACUGACACUGAGGCUCGAAAGUGUGGGUAUCAAACAGGAUUAGAUACCCCUGUAGUC